CAGCAUGCAUUCCACCAUACCAGGAAACUACGACUCCCAUCAUCCAAUGCGAAUAGCUCUUAUAUGACGUACACGUGCCUCACAAAGAAGUCUAUAAAUACCAAGUGACAAGCUUUACAGGCCUUUCCGCUGUUGAUGCCACCGCCAUCUUAAGUAGAGAGUUUCUGGCGCGGUCUCCUUCAUCCGCGGCCAUCUGACUGCAGCUCUGCUCCCCGUUCGUGGGGACUGAGCCGGGGGGUACUACCCCAAUAUGAGAGCUAAGUGGCGAAAGAAGCGUAUGCGCAGGCUGAAGCGCAAAAGGAGAAAGAUGAGGCAGAGGUCCAAGUAGACAUCUCCUGCAGUGCUACUGAAGCUGCAGAACAGAGCAUGGAAUGGUGGAGCUUGGGGUGACUUCCAGACAAGGCCUGCUAUUUGAUGCUACUGUUAGAAGACUCCUUUCCUAUCUUCAGGAGCUUCCAUCUUGAAGUCUAGGAGCUGUGAUCUAUAAAGGGUGCUGUCCCAGAGCUUUACUAUUCUGGACUGGUUCUCUUCUUUGCGGCUUGAUGGUAGUGACUGUAUAAAAUAAAACCCAUUUUGGGAA